ACGAACGCUGGCGGCAGGCCUAACACAUGCAAGUCGAACGCGCGUAGCAAUACGCGAGUGGCGCACGGGUGAGUAACACGUGGGAACCAACCCUGAGGUUCGGAAUAACCGCGGGAAACUGCGGCUAAUACCGGAUAUCCCCUACGGGGGAAAGAUUUAUCGCCUUGGGACGGGCCCGCGUCCGAUUAGCUAGUUGGUGAGGUAACGGCUCACCAAGGCUCCGAUCGGUAGCUGGUCUGAGAGGACGACCAGCCACACUGGAACUGAGAUACGGUCCAGACUCCUACGGGAGGCAGCAGUGGGGAAUAUUGGGCAAUGGAGGCAACUCUGACCCAGCCAUGCCGCGUGGGUGACGAAGGUCUUCGGAUUGUAAAGCCCUUUCGGCGGGGACGAUGAUGACGGUACCCGCAGAAGAAGCCCCGGCUAACUUCGU
rnacentral:rRNA from 1 species